rnacentral:rRNA from 1 species
GAUGAACGCUGGCGGCAUGGAUAAGGCAUGCAAGUCGAGUGGGUUUAGGCCCACGGCAAACGGGUUAGUACAACAUAGGAACGUGCCCUCGAGUCGCGAAUAAUUCGGAGAAAUCCGAAAUAAUACGCGAUACCUCUACGGAGGAAAGUCUUCGGACGCUUGAGGAGCGGCCUGUGCGCUAUCAGCUAGUUGGUGGGGUAAUGGCCUACCAAGGCUCUGACGGCUAGGGGUGGUGAGAGCAUGGCCCCCGAACCCAA